UACAGAGGUCCCGAGCGUUGUUCGGAUUCAUUGGGCGUAAAGGGUGCGUAGGCGGUUUGCUAAGUUUGAUGUGAAAUCCCGGGGCUCAACCCUGGAAUUGCAUUGAAUACUGGCGGACUAGAGUCCUGGAGAGGAAACUGGAAUUUACGGUGUAGCAGUGAAAUGCGUAGAGAUCGUAAGGAAGACCAGUGGCGAAGGCGAGUUUCUGGACAGGUACUGACGCUGAGGCGCGAAAGCCAGGGGAGCGAAUGGG
rnacentral:rRNA from 1 species